CAUUCUCACAAGUCAUGAGCUGAGCUGGUGAAGAUGUGGUUCCUCAAAGUCUUCAUCGCUCCUUGAUCUUAAAUGUACAAGAUCUAAAUAAGCCUGGAUGGGUGUGGAUGUGAGGGCGCUGUCCAGAACUCAACAGACUGAAAAACACCGUCAGGUUACCUUUGUGCUGAUGGGUCAGUAAAUAACAGAUGGAUGAUGAAUGGUGACUAUGAGUAAGUCUGGAGCCAAGGCAAUAAGAUGGAGAACUUCAGUCGUGACAGUAAGUCUCAAAAUAUAUUUAUUAGAUAAUAAUAAUAAUGUUGUUGCUAUUAAACCUUAUAUUAUUGUAUUGUGACUGUACAAUUGCAUUACACACACACACACACACACACACUUUACAUUCUAUAUUUGUUAUGUUUUUUGACUAAUCAUUCAAACCUAAACCUGUGUACUUAUGUAUUCUUGACACAUCAUCGCUAAACUUUUUUUUCCCUCAAAUAUUUGCACAAUUCAUUUAUACAGUCCAAUGCAUUGUAAUGACUACUGUAUGAACAUAGCUUUUAAUAUCACUGCUUUAUAUUUUUGGGAUGAAAAAUAAUUUCUUUUGAAUUCAAAAAGUUUUUUUAAUUUUCUUAAUGAAUUCUCAGGUAAAAGUUACAACUAAUUUUGAAAAAUAGGAUGACAUUUUUUAGCCUAAUGACUUCAUGAUUUGAAUUGUCAUCAGUGAGGAGAUACAUGUGAUUGUUUUUAAGAAGGAUUCAGAUCUGAGGCUGAGUUCGUGGUGGAGAAUGAGCACUUUCUCUUUUAUUUAAGAAAACAUUUGACAAAGCGAUGGAAAGUUUUGAAACAGCUCGAUCACAUUGGACGACCACACACGGCUUUAGAGCCUAAACUGAAAUCCAAUUUAAUCUGGCAAUGUUAAUCCUACCUAACCCUAGCGCCUAUUUACUCUGAUUAAAUGGAAAAAACUUACAAAACAUUUAAAUUACCAACAAGCAAGUUAUAUCCAGCAGAUAUUUGCUAAAAUUAUCAAAAAUACAUUUUCAAAUAAAACAAAAAUGUAGAGUAAAAGAAUCAAAGUACAAUGUUGUGCAAUAGUAGUAGUAGAUUUGACGUUGGCUAAUUAUUAAUAAUCAUGAGAAAUGAUUAUUAAAAUAGAAAUUAUUUAUAAAAAAUAAUUAAAAAUUAUAAAGCUAGUAAUUAAGAAUAGUAAAAUAAUUAAUUAGAAAUGAUACGGUUAUCAAUUAAUAAUGGUUAAAUAAUUAAUGAAAACAAUAAAAUUAUCAAUUAAGAAUGAAACAAUCUGUAAUUAAUGCUUAUCGUUGCGGGGCACCACCCUGGUUACAGGGACCAACUAGUCAAACUAUACUUAUCAGUCUCAAGUGAUAAAAGUUAAAUUAAUAAUCUCAAUAUUUAAUAUUAAUGAUUAUAUAAUAAACAAUGAAGGGUUUUAAGUUCGAGCACAGGCUAUAGUAAUCCAGCUGUAUUCACAUACACAUGUACAAAUAAUCACAGAAAUACAAAUACUUUAAUUACAAAAGUAUUUAUUAAAAAGGGGAAAUAAAGUUAAUGUUAAUUCAAUGAUUCUUCAUUUAACAAAACCAAUAUUUCAAAGAUGGCAACAGCAGCAGCAGCACUUAUCACAAUGGUCACACAGGUAAUACUGGGUAUCUACUGGUGUGUGUGUGUGUGUGGUCGUGUGUGUCUGCCUGUCUGUGUCUCUAUGUGUGUGUGUGGGUGUGUGUGUCUAAAGAGAAAGGGGAGUGGCUAUGGCGUAAUGACGAGAUCACGUGGGGACGAAGCCUGGCCAGGAUCAAGAUGUUACGUUCACAUACUUUCAAGAUGGAGGUUUAUGAAUGAAGCCACGUUGCGAAAAGCAAAAUGGCUGCCGGUCACUGAACUUAACAAAGGGGAUCUUUAGACAAAGAUUUCUUAUCUCCUGGUUUUGGCGCCGAAUGGCGUCGAGAUGUAUUAAGGCUCUUUAAAUCUAGAAUUUUCUAUGCCACAUGAAAUAUGUAAGUGUAGGUCGGGACGUGUGUAAAAACAGGUUUAGGAGAAAAGAGAGAGAGAGGGAGAGAUAGAGAGAUCAGGAAAGCUCUCAAAACAUCGUCAGAGACAAACUUCCGGCGAAGCGGGCAGUCCAGUUACGUGAGAUGUAUCUUUUAACAGAUGUAAAUCUCCGCACAAUAUCUCUGACGGUAACACUUUAAAAAGGGAAGUGCCGGCUUAUUACGCGCGCUUCUCAGAACAUAGUAGACAAAGGAACCGGAUGUGACGUCUCCAGUUCGCCACGCGUUACACGGCUAAAAACAGAUCAGCGAUCUACAAACAAACACUCAAAUAAACAUGACAAGCUAAGUAUUUAAACUAGUCUCUGCCCAGACAAUAAAGCCUCUUACUGUGACCUUCGCGGUGUUGCUUGCGCGUGGCGCGGAUUUUCCAGAAGUCCAGUGAAUCUCGUUGUUAACCUCAGGAUGCCUGCACGAACGGCGAAUUUUCCUGGAAAACAAAUGAGUGAAGUCCUGGCCUCUUAAGCGGGGCUCCGCUGGGUCUCGUGGUUGCAACGGAGGUCAGCGCUGGGCCGAAUAGAGCGAACUUCUCUUGCUCUUGGAACGGAAUUCGGCCUCGUCUCUUCUGCGACAGAAUGAUGCUUUGUCCUGCAGGGAUUAACAGCUGUGGCGCUGUUGUGGGGAUCGUGAAAAAGAAAGUCUGUGAUCUCGGCCGGUGAGUGGACUUCCUUUGGCGAUCUCCUUCAAGUUAAAAUAACAAAAAGUCCUAUCAA